rnacentral:rRNA from 1 species
AAAUUGAAGAGUUUGAUCAUGGCUCAGAUUGAACGCUGGCGGCAGGCCUAACACAUGCAAGUCGAGCGGUAGCACAGAGAGCUUGCUCUCGGGUGACGAGCGGCGGACGGGUGAGUAAUGUCUGGGAAACUGCCUGAUGGAGGGGGAUAACUACUGGAAACGGUAGCUAAUACCCCAUAA